AUUGAACGCUGGCGGCAUGCCUUACACAUGCAAGUCGAACGGCAGCGGGGGAGAAGCUUGCUUUUCCUGCCGGCGAGUGGCGAACGGGUGAGUAAUACAUCGGAACGUGCCCUGUAGUGGGGGAUAACUAGUCGAAAGAUUAGCUAAUACCGCAUACGACCUGAGGGUGAAAGUGGGGGACCGCAAGGCCUCAUGCUAUAGGAGCGGCCGAUGUCUGAUUAGCUAGUUGGUGGGGUAAAGGCCUACCAAGGCGACGAUCAGUAGCUGGUCUGAGAGGACGAUCAGCCACACUGGGACUGAGACACGGCCCAGACUCCUACGGGAGGCAGCAGUGGGGAAUUUUGGACAAUGGGCGAAAGCCUGAUCCAGCAAUGCCGCGUGUGUGAAGAAGGCCUUCGGGUUGUAAAGCACUUUUGUCCGGAAAGAAAUGGCUCUGGUUAAUACCUGGGGGAUGACAGUACCUGAAGAAUAAGCACCGGCUAACUACGUGCCAGCAGCCGCCGCAG
rnacentral:rRNA from 1 species